GACGAACGCUGGCGGCGUGCCUAAUACAUGCAAGUCGAGCGGAAGUUGGAGAGCUUGCUCUUCAACUUUAGCGGCGGACGGGUGAGCAACACGUGGGCAACCUGCCCUGCAGAUCGGGAUAACUCCGGGAAACCGGUGCUAAUACCGAAUAGUUUUCGCCACCUCCUGGUGGCGUACGGAAAGACGGUUUCGGCUGUCACUGCAGGAUGGGCCCGCGGCGCAUUAGCUAGUUGGUGGGGUAACGGCCCACCAAGGCAACGAUGCGUAGCCGACCGGAGAGGGUGAUCGGCCACACUGGGACAGAGACACGGCCCAGACUCCUACGGGAGGCAGCAGUAGGGAAUCCUCCGCAAUGGACGAAAGUCUGACGGAGCAACGCCGAGUGAGUGACGAAGGUUUUCGGAUCGUAAAACUCUGUUGUGAGGGAAGAACAAGUACCAACUAACUACUGGUACCUUGACGGUACCUCACCAGAAAGCCACGGCUAACUACGUGCCAGCCGCCGCCGUAAGAC
rnacentral:rRNA from 1 species